rnacentral:rRNA from 1 species
UGCCAGCCGCCGCGGUAAUACGGAGGGUGCAAGUGUUAAUCGGAAUUACUGGGCGUAAAGAGUAUGUAGGCGGCAAAGUAAGUCAAAUGUGAAAUCUCUGGGCUCAACCUAGAAACUGCAUUUGAAACUGCUUAGCUAGAGUAUGGUAGAGGAUAGCGGAAUUUCCUGUGUAGCGGUGGAAUGUGUAGAUACAGGAAGGAACACCAGUUGCGAAGGCGGCUAUCUGGACCAAUACUGACGCUGAGAUACGAAAGCUUGGGUAGCAAACAGGAUUAGAUA